UCGAACGCGAAAGUGGAGCAAUCCAUGAGUAGAGUGGCAAACGGGUGAGUAACACGUGGGUGACCUGCCUUCGAGUGGGGGAUAACGUCCCGAAAGGGACGCUAAUACCGCAUAACAUGCUGUCUUUUAAGAGAUGGACAUCAAAGCCGGGGACCGCAAGGCCUGGCGCUUGAAGAGGGGCCCGCGCCUGAUUAGCUAGUUGGUGGGGUAAUGGCUCACCAAGGCAACGAUCAGUAUCCGGCCUGAGAGGGCGGACGGACACACUGGGACUGAGACACGGCCCAGACUCCUACGGGAGGCAGCAGUGGGGAAUUGUUCGCAAUGGGCGCAAGCCUGACGACGCAACGCCGCGUGGAGGAUGAAGAUCUUCGGGUCGUAAACUCCUUUCGAUCGAGACGAACGGCCUCCGGGCUAACAUCCUGGAGGAGUGACGGUACCGAGAGAAGAAGCCCCGGCUAACUCCGUGCCAGCAGCCGCGGUAAUACGGGGGGGGCAAGCGUUGUUCGGAAUUACUGGGCGUAAAGGGCUCGUAGGCGGCCAACUAAGUCAUACGUGAAAUCCCUCGGCUUAACCGGGGAACUGCGUCUGAUACUGGAUGGCUUGAGUUCGGGAGAGGGAUGCGGAAUUCCAGGUGUAGCGGUGAAAUGCGUAGAUAUCUGGAGGAACACCGGUGGCGAAGGCGGCAUCCUGGACCGAUACUGACGCUGAGGAGCGAAAGCCAG
rnacentral:rRNA from 1 species